rnacentral:rRNA from 1 species
AUUGAACGCUGGCGGCAGGCCUAACACAUGCAAGUCGAGCGGAUGAAGGGAGCUUGCUCCUGGAUUCAGCGGCGGACGGGUGAGUAAUGCCUAGGAAUCUGCCUGGUAUUGGGGGAUAACGUCCGGAAACGGGCGCUAAUACCGCAUACGUCCUGAGGGAGAAAGUGGGGGAUCUUCGGACCUCACGCUAUCAUAUGAGCCUAGGUCGGAUUAGCUAGUUGGUGGGGUAAAGGCCUACCAAGGCGACGAUCCGUAACUGGUCUGAGAGGAUGAUCAGUCACACUGGAACUGAGACACGGUCCAGACUCCUACGGGAGGCAGCAGUGGGGAAUAUUGGACAAUGGGCGAAAGCCUGAUCCAGCCAUGCCGCGUGUGUGAAGAAGGUCUUCGGAUUGUAAAGCACUUUAAGUUGGGAGGAAGGGCAGUAAGUUAAUACCUUGCUGUUUUGACGUUACCAACAGAAUAAGCACCGGCUAACUUCGUG